GUUGGAUUGCUGUUUAAGCUGGUUUGCAUUAUAAUUUGCUUGUCUUGGAUUGCGAAAGUUUCACUUUGUAUAUCUCCUUUAAUAUUUGCUUGUCUUGGAUUGCGAAAGUUUCACGUUGUAUAUCUCUUAUGUGACAUCUUGAUGUUUUAUAUCUACUUCGCGGUUGAAAUUGUGGUAAUUUUUGAUAUUUCAACUAACUUUUUUUUUCAAAAUGAGGAUGUAGAAAAAUUUUAUGCUUUAACUUUUAGUUUAUUUUCAUCCUUCUUUUAUUCGCAGGAGGUGAAUGAGCUGUUAAAAGCAAGGCAACAUGCACUCGUUUCUCUGUAAGAUUUGGAAUAGUAAUAAGGUGCUUAAUUGAUCCUAAGAAAUCUGAUUUUCAGACCAUGGAACCGACUAAAGGGAAAAGGAGUUAUCAAUACCAAACCAAUACUUGCUAUGGAUGCUUCACUGUGAACGCGAAGAUGGGGCCCUUGUUUAGAUCUUAUACAUGAAACCUCGGUGUUAAUUUGUAAAAGGUUUUUCUCUGCCUCCAUACAUGAUGAUGAAUUUCUUUUUUUCCUUUUCAUCUGUUUUCUCGUCUAGAUGGAGUGGACUGUGCUCAUGACUGGUUUAAGUGUUUGUGCACAUGCAGCUUCUGUGAAGGAAGUUUUUCUCGACUACUCCAACCAUGUAAAGAGGGUGAAACAUAAGCUGGGUAGCAGUAUAGGCUCCUGACAUGUGCUUUAAGCACCUUCUCGUAAAAGAAAUGGAUAUAUUUGAUCAUUGUUAGCUGAAAAUGUUCUAAUUUCAGCAUCUGUAAGUUGGCCUUUUGUGGCUAGGAUAGGAUGGCUUCCUCCCACUUGAAGAUUCUUCUUGUGGUUUAUAGGAAUGUGCAAUGGCACAAGUUCAGACUCGUAAGAAAUGAUGCCGCCCGUCUUUAAUAUUUCAAAAAUGGAAGCUGUGUUUGGUCUUUUAUUUCAUUAUUUAUGUUGGUUCCUAUCUUUCAUCAAGAGUUCAAAGAUACAUCUCCCUGUAUCAAUGUUUUCUAUUACUUAGUGCUUGAAUGAGGAACCAUAGCAGGACUAACGAUUUAUCCAUUUCUUCUGUCACAUGUAACAUUUGCUAAUAUGAACACUUAAAAGUGAGCCACUGAACUUUCAGAAAUGGCUCAUCUAUGCCCUCCGUUAAAAGUUUGCUAUAUUCAUGCCAUCGACAUUAAAGAAAUGGCCUAAAUAUGCCAUUCCUCCG
rnacentral:lncRNA from 1 species